AAAAAUUUGGCGGUAUUUUAGUCUAUUCAGAGGAACUUGUUUUAUAAUCGAUAUUCCACGAUGGACCUUACUAAAUUUUGUUUUCAGUUUAUAUACCGUUGUUAUUAAAAUAUUUUAAAAGGAGGUUAAUUUUUAUAAAUUUUUAAGAAAAAAUAUAUCAGAUCAAGGUGUAGCUUAUAAUUUAGUAAAAAUGAGUUACAAUAAAUUUAUUUAGAUGAAUAUAAAUUUGAAAUAUUUAUUGAAAAUGGAUUUGAUAGUAAAAUUAUAUAGAUAAAUUAAUUGAUUUUAGCUCUAAAAU
rnacentral:rRNA from 1 species